CCUACGGGAGGCAGCAGUGGGGAAUAUUGCACAAUGGUGGGAACCCUGAUGCAGCGACGCCGCGUGGGUGAAGGAGUAUUUCGGUAUGUAAAGCCCUAUCAGCCGGGGAGAACAAUGACGGUACCUGCCUAAGAAGCACCGGCUAAAUACGUGCCAGCCGCCGCGGUAAUACGGAUGGUGCACGCGUUAUCCGGAUUUCCUGGGUGUAAAGGGAGCGCAGGCGGCGCGGUCAGACUGGUGUGAACGUCCGCGGCCCAACCGCGGGACUGCAUUGGAAACUGGCGCGCUGGAGUUCCGGAGGGGUAUGCGGAAGGCCUGGUGUAGCGGUGAAAUGCGUAGAUAUUAGGAGGAACACCAGUGGCGAAGGCGGCCUACUGGACGGUGACUGACGCUGAGGCUCGAAAGCGUGGGGAGCAAACAGGAUUAGAUACCCCAGUAGUC
rnacentral:rRNA from 1 species